GAUGAAGAACGUAGCGAAAUGCGAUACGUAGUGUGAAUUGCAGAAUUCAGUGAAUCAUCGAAUCUUGAACGCACAUUGCACCUCUCGGUAUUCCGGGAGGUAUGCCUGUUCGAGCGUCAUUUGUACCCUCAAGCUCUGCUUGGUGUUGGGUGUUUGUUCCGCCUCUGUGUGUGAACUCGCCUCAAAACAAUUGGCAGCCGGCGUACUUGUUUCGGAGCGCAGCACAUUUUGCGAUCCAGAUCAACGUACAGCGGCAUCCAAGAAGCCUUAUUUAACGCUCUUGACCUCGGAUCAGGUAGGGAUACCCGCUGAACUUAAGCAUAUCAAUAAGCGGAGGA
rnacentral:misc_RNA from 1 species